UCGUAACAAGGUUUCCGUAGGUGAACCUGCGGAAGGAUCAUUACACGUCUAGGGCGCUCCGGCGCUCUUUACACACCCACCCUCUGCCUACGCGUACCUCUAUAGCUUCCUCGGCGGGCUCGCCCGCCGCCAGGAACCCACAAAACCCCUUGCAUGAUGCACGAACACUUCUGAUUACAACCUAAAAUUAUCACAACUUUCAACAAUGGAUCUCUUGGUUCUGGCAUCGAUGAAGAACGCAGCGAAAUGCGAUAAGUAGUGUGAAUUGCAGAAUUCAGUGAAUCAUCGAAUCUUUGAACGCACAUUGCGGCCACGGGUAUUCCCGUGGCCAUGCCUGUUCGAGCGUCAUUUACACCCUCAAGCCUCGCUUGGUGUUGGGCGUCUGUCCCCCCGCGACACCUCUCGCCGCGGGGACUCGCCUCAAAGUCAUCCCGACGCGCGGUUAGGACGGCACUUUCGCAGCACAUUUGCGCAGAGAAAGCCGGCCAAACCGGGCACGGGGCAACAAACCUUUCACGACUUGACCUCGGAUCAGGUAGGGAUACCCGCUGAACUUAAGCAUAUCAAUAA
rnacentral:misc_RNA from 1 species